rnacentral:rRNA from 1 species
GGAAUAUUGGACAAUGGGGGCAACCCUGAUCCAGCCAUGCCGCGUGCGUGAAGAAGGCCUUAGGGUCGUAAAGCUCUUUCGCCAGGGAUGAUAAUGACAGUCCCUGGUAAAGAAACCCCGGCUAACUCCGUGCCCGCAGCCGCGGUAAUACGGAGGGGGUUAGCGUUGUUCGGAAUUACUGGGCGUAAAGCGCACGUAGGCGGAUUAGAAAGUUGGGGGUGAAAUCCCAGGGCUCAACCCUGGAACUGCCUUCAAAACUACUAGUCUAGAGUUCGAGAGAGGUGAGUGGAAUUCCGAGUGUAGAGGUGAAAUUCGUAGAUAUUCGGAGGAACACCAGUGGCGAAGGCGGCUCACUGGCUCGAUACUGACGCUGAGGUGCGAAAGUGUGGGGAGCAAAC